rnacentral:rRNA from 1 species
GACGAACGCUGGCGGCGUGCCUAAUACAUGCAAGUCGAACGCAGUGGGGACGGGUGCGUAACACGUGGGUAACCUCCCAUCAGAGGGGAUAACACUUGGAAACAGGUGCUAAACCGAUACUGAUGGAUGAACCCGCGGUGCAUUAGCUAGUUGGUGAGGUAACGGCUCACCAAGGCCACGAUGCAUAGCCGAUCUGAGAGGGUGAUCGGCCACACUGGGACUGAGACACGGCCCAGACUCCUACGGGAGGCAGCAGUGGGGAAUAUUGGGCAAUGGACGAAAGUCUGACCGAGCAACGCCGCGUGAGUGAAGAAGGUUUUCGGAUCGUAAAGUUCUGUUGUUAGAGAGGCGGUAUCUAACGAGGAAGCCACGGCUAACUACGUGCCAGCAGCCGCGGUAAUAC